rnacentral:rRNA from 1 species
GGCCUUUUGGGUAUAAUUUAAGGUCUGACCUGCCCAGUGAUGAAUUUAACGGCCGCGGUAUACUGACCGUGCAAAGGUAGCAUAAUCAUUAGUCUUUUAAUAGAGGGCUGGAAUGAACGGUUUAACGAGGAACUGACUGUCUCAUUUUAUUUGUUUUAAAAUUUAAUUUUUUAGUUAAAAAGCUAAAAUUUUAUUGGAAGACGAGAAGACCCUAUAGAUCUUUAUACAAUUUUUGUAUUUAUUAACAUACUUAUAUUAAAAUUGUAUUUUGUUGGGGUGACGAAAAUAUAUAAUUAACUUUUUUAUUUAUUUACCAUUGAUAUAUGAGUAUUAGAUCCAUUACUAGUGAUUGUUAGAAUAAGUUACCUUAGGGAUAACAGCGUAAUCCUCCUCCAGAGCUCAUAUUUACAGGAGGGCUUGCGACCUCGAUGUUGGAUUAAGAUAAUAAUUAGGUGUAGCCGCUUAAUUUAUAGGUCUGUUCGACCUUUAAAUUCUU